rnacentral:tRNA from 1 species
GGGGCUGUAGCUCAGUUGGCUAGAGCGCUUGCAUGGCAUGCAAGAGGUCAGGGGUUCGAUUCCCCUCAGCUCCACCA